rnacentral:rRNA from 1 species
AGAGUUUGAUCCUGGCUCAGAUUGAACGCUGGCGGUAUGCUUAACACAUGCAAGUCGAACGGAAACGGAACUAGCUUGCUAGUAGACGUCGAGUGGCGGACGGGUGAGUAACGCGUAGGAAUCUGCCUGAUAGUGGGGGAUAGCCCGAAGAAAUUCGGAUUAAUACCGCAUAAUCUAUUCGUAGUAAAGUGAGGGACUUUCGAGCCUCACGCUAUCAGAUGAGCCUGCGUAAGAUUAGCUUGUUGGUAGGGUAAAAGCCUACCAAGGCAACGAUCUUUAGCUGGUCUGAGAGGAUGAUCAGCCACAUCGGGACUGAGACACGGCCCGAACUCCUACGGGAGGCAGCAGUGGGGAAUAUUGGACAAUGGGGGCAACCCUGAUCCAGCAAUACCGCGUGUGUGAAGAAGGCCUGAGGGUUGUAAAGCACUUUCAAUUGUGAAGAAAAGUUAACGGUUAAUAACCGUUGACCUUGACGUUAACUUUAGAAGAAGCACCGGCUAACUCCGUGCCAGCAGCCGCGGUAAUACGGAGGGUGCAAGCGUUAAUCGGAAUUACUGGGCGUAAAGCGUGCGUAGGCGGUUUAUUAAGUCAGAUGUGAAAGCCCCGGGCUUAACCUGGGAACUGCAUUUGAAACUGGUCAACUAGAGUAUGGUAGAGGAAGUGGAAUUUCUGGUGUAGCGGUGAAAUGCGUAGAUAUCAGAAGGAACAUCAAUGGCGAAGGCAGCUUUCUGGACCAAUACUGACGCUGAGGUACGAAAGCGUGGGUAGCAAACAGGAUUAGAUACCCUGGUAGUCCACGCCGUAAACGAUGAUAACUAGCCGUUGGGGGGAUUUACCCCUUAGUGGCGAAGCUAACGCGUUAAGUUAUCCGCCUGGGGAGUACGGCCGCAAGGCUAAAACUCAAAGGAAUUGACGGGGACCCGCACAAGCGGUGGAGCAUGUGGUUUAAUUCGAUGCAACGCGAAGAACCUUACCUGGUCUUGACAUCCUGCGAACUUUCUAGAAAUAGAUUGGUGCCUUCGGGAACGCAGUGACAGGUGCUGCAUGGCUGUCGUCAGCUCGUGUCGUGAGAUGUUGGGUUAAGUCCCGUAACGAGCGCAACCCCUAUCACUAGUUGCCAGCACAUUAUGGUGGGGACUUUAGUGAGACUGCCGGUGACAAACCGGAGGAAGGUGGGGACGACGUCAAGUCAUCAUGGCCCUUAUGGGCAGGGCUACACACGUGCUACAAUGGCUAAUACAAAGGGACGCCAACCCGCGAGGGGGAGCCAAUCCAAUAAAAUUAGUCUCAGUCCGGAUCGAAGUCUGCAACUCGACUUCGUGAAGUUGGAAUCGCUAGUAAUCGCGUAUCAGCAAUGGCGCGGUGAAUACGUUCCCGGGUCUUGUACACACCGCCCGUCACACCAUGGAAGUUGGUUGCACCAGAAGUGAAUAGUCUAACCUUUGGGAGGGCGUUCACCACGGUGUGGUCAAUGACUAGGGUGAAGUCGUAACAAGGUAACC